ACUUCCUCCAGGGGGCGCAGAAACAGCGACACGCAUCUUAUUGCCACGUUGGAUUUGAUUGCCGGCAAAAAUGAAGGUUAAAGAAAUAGAUAGAACAGCCAACGUGGCCUGGGCGCCGGCUGUGCACCACCCGAUUUAUAUUGCAGCCGGCACUGCCGCUCAGCAGCUGGAUUCCACGUUCAGCACGUCGGCUGCACUCGAGAUAUAUGCACUGAACCUCACGGAGCCAGGACUGGAUAUGGAACUUGUCGAACUCUUGAUUCCGAUCACAGGUUCCAUAAGAUUGCCUGGGGCUGGCAUGGCAUGUCAGAUGGUGAACUGGCCAGUGGUGUGCUCGUCGGCGGGGCCGACGCUGGCAACCUGCUAGUUUAUGACCCAGCAAAGCUCAUUAAGGGGGAGGAUUCACUCAUUUGCCAAAAGAACAAGCAUACUGGCCCUGUGUAUGCACUUGACUUCAACACAUUUCAGGCAAAUCUUCUGGCAUCAGGGUCGACUGACUCGGAAAUCUUCAUAUGGGACCUUAAUAGUCCCAAUGCGCCAAUGACUCCUGGCGCCAAAUCUCAG